CCUCCCUUCUCCUUACUUUUUCCUGUGUCAUUGAACACAACUCGAGACUUUCGAAACCUCCCACUCAGUAUCGGAUGAAUAACACAGUUUGAUGUUUUGCUUGUUCUGCUGACGGACACGUUAAAGACGUCUGCGCUCCCGUUUCUGUGCAUGUCCAGCAUGAGACAACUGGAAUUCAACCACAUUGAACACCGACUUCAGGGACAGACGAGCCUGAAGGACACAGCUGUGAUGACCAUGUUCUGUCUCUUAUGGCAAAGCAGAAAUAUAAAACACUGGGUUCUUAUCUAAAGUGUAUCAAAUCAGAUCUCCACCAUGUUGCUGCUGAGGAC